rnacentral:rRNA from 1 species
CACAGAGACUGCAAGCGUUAUUCGGAUUCACUGGGCGUAAAGGGUGCGCAGGCGGCCAAGUGUGUGAGGCGUGAAAGCCCGAAGCUUAACUUCGGAAUUGCACCUCAAACUACAUGGCUAGAGCAUUGGAGAGGGUAGCGGAAUUCACGGUGUAGCAGUGAAAUGCGUAGAUAUCGUGAGGAACACCAGAGGCGAAGGCGGCUACCUGGACAAUUGCUGACGCUCAGGCACGAAAGCGUGGGGAGCAAAAGGG